rnacentral:rRNA from 1 species
GUGGGGAAUAUUGGGCAAUGGGCGCAAGCCUGACCCAGCAACGCCGCGUGAAGGAAGAAGGCUUUCGGGUUGUAAACUUCUUUUACCAGGGACGAAACAAAUGACGGUACCUGGUGAAUAAGCCACGGCUAACUACGUGCCAGCAGCCGCGGUAAUACGUAGGUGGCGAGCGUUAUCCGGAUUUAUUGGGUGUAAAGGGCGUGUAGGCGGGACAGCAAGUCAGAUGUGAAAACCAGAGGCUCAACCUCUGGCCUGCAUUUGAAACUGUUGUUCUUGAGUGUCGGAGAGGUAAUCGGAAUUCCGGGUGUAGCGGUGAAAUGCGUAGAUAUACGGAGGAACACCAGUGGCGAAGGCGACUUUCUGGACUGUAACUGACGCUGAGGCUCGAAAGCCAGGGGAGCGAACGGGAUUAGAAACCCUUGUAGUCC